AGCCCUAAAGACUUAAUAAGGAUAAUAGAAUAACCUGGAAAGGUUAACCGUAGAGGGUGAUAGUCCCGUAAAUGAAAUUUUUAUUAAGUUGAUAACGAGUAAGGCGGAACACGAGAAAUUCUGUCCGAAUAUGGGAGGACCAUCUUCCAAGGCUAAAUACUCCUCAAAGACCGAUAGUGAACUAGUACUGUGAAGGAAAGGUGAAAAGCAUUUCGAAUAGAAAGUUGAAAUAGAACCUGAAACCGUACGCCUACAAGCGGUCGGAGCACGUAAGUGUGACGGCGUGCCUUUUGCAUAAUGAGCCUACGAGUUAAUGUUG
rnacentral:rRNA from 1 species